UAGCAUGCAUACCACAAAAUAAAAGUUUCAAAUCCUUUGAUCUUUUGCUGGUUCUUAAGCUCGUUACUGAAAUGAUGUCAUUCUCAGUACUUCAGGUGAAACGAUUGCAACCGGAACUUAUAACUCCGGCAAAGUCAACGCCUCAAGAAACAAAGUUUCUCUCAGAUAUUGACGACCAAGAAAGCUUGAGAGUUCAGAUUCCAAUCAUAAUGUGUUACAAAGACAACCCUUCACUUAAUAAAAAUCGUAAUCCCGUUAAGGCAAUUAGGGAAGCCUUAAGUAGAGCAUUAGUGUAUACUACCCCAGCUGAAGGCUUAGGGAAGGGCCUAAUAGAAAGCUCGUGGUGAUGCAAUGGUGAAGUAUCUUGUUCGUUGAGGCUUCUGCUGAUGUCACACUUGAGCAACUAGGAGACAAAAUUCUACCCCCUUGUCCACUUUUAGAGGAGUUCUUAUAUAAUUUUCCAGGCUCUGAUGGAAUUAUUGAUUGUCCUUUGCUGCUGAUUCAGGUGAGUCAAUUAAUUAUCAAUUACAUGUUAUUUAGUUUUUCAUAUUCAUCAACAAUGUGUGAUGCAGCUGGAUCUCUUGUUCCUGACGCCAUCGCGGAGAUGCAAGAGCGCACAUGCACAUCUAUUCUACCAGUGUGGAGAAAGCUCUUUUCGCUCGAAUCCACCAAGAUACAUGUGCUCAUCAUGAAUAUGAAGACUGAUUGGUCAUUCUGAUGGCUCAUAGCAUCCAGUACCAGUCAAACAUGGUCAACGAUCUUUCUACUUUGGUUGCAAGGAGAUGAGAGUCCUUCGAAAACAGAUUCCACCCCACCUAAUUUCCACUUGCUCCACAUUUGACUUGAUCACAGCUUGUUUGUGGAAAUGUCGCACUCUUGCACUUAACAUUAAUCCAAAAGAGGCUGUUCGAGUUUCAUGCAUUGUCAAUGCACGAGGAAAGCACAACAAUGUACGUCUUCCCUUGGGAUACUAUGGCAAUGCAUUUGCAUUUCCAGCUGCAAUUUCGAAGGCUGAACCUCUAUGCAAAAAUCCACUGGGAUAUGCUUUGGAGUUGGUGAAGAAGGCUAAAGCUACCAUGAAUGAAGAAUACUUAAGAUCAGUGGCAGAUCUUUUGGUACUAAGAGGGCGACCUCAAUAUUCAUCGACAGGAAGUUAUUUAAUAGUUUCUGAUAAUACGCGUGUAGGUUUUGGAGAUGUCAAUUUUGGAUGGGGACAGCGUAUUUGGACCCGUCAAGGCCUUGGAUGAUUAGCUCUACGUUCAACACAAAAACACAGAGGAUGGAAUAUUGGACCAAUGUGUUUGCCAUCCUCGCCAUGGAGAGAUUUCAGCAGGACUAGAGAGGAUUACUCAGGAACCUAA